rnacentral:rRNA from 1 species
ACUCCUACGGGAGGCUGCAGUGGGGAAUAUUGCACAAUGGGCGCAAGCCUGAUGCAGCAACGCCGCGUGAGGGACGACGGCCUUCGGGUUGUAAACCUCUUUUAGUAGGGAAGAAGCGAAAGUGACGGUACCUGCAGAAAAAGCACCGGCUAACUACGUGCCAGCAGCCGCGGUAAUACGUAGGGUGCAAGCGUUAUCCGGAAUUAUUGGGCGUAAAGAGCUCGUAGGCGGUUUGUCGCGUCUGCUGUGAAAACUGGAGGCUCAACCUCCAGCCUGCAGUGGGUACGGGCAGACUAGAGUGCGGUAGGGGAGAUUGGAAUUCCUGGUGUAGCGGUGGAAUGCGCAGAUAUCAGGAGGAACACCGAUGGCGAAGGCAGAUCUCUGGGCCGUAACUGACGCUGAGGAGCGAAAGCAUGGGGAGCGAACAGGAUUAGAUACCCUGGUAGUCCAUGCCGUAAACGUUGGGAACUAGAUGUAGGGACCAUUCCACGGUUUCUGUGUCGCAGCUAACGCAUUAAGUUCCCCGCCUGGGGAGUACGGCCGCAAGGCUAAAACUCAAAGGAAUUGACGGGGGCCCGCACAAGCGGCGGAGCAUGCGGAUUAAUUCGAUGCAACGCGAAGAACCUUACCAAGGCUUGACAUAUACCGGAAAAGUUCAGAAAUGUUCUCCCCGCAAGGUCGGUAUACAGGUGGUGCAUGGUUGUCGUCAGCUCGUGUCGUGAGAUGUUGGGUUAAGUCCCGCAACGAGCGCAACCCUCGUUCUAUGUUGCCAGCACGUAAUGGUGGGAACUCAUAGGAGACUGCCGGGGUCAACUCGGA